AUUGAACGCUGGCGGCAGGCCUAACACAUGCAAGUCGAGCGGAGCGGCGGACGGGUGAGUAAUGCCUAGGAAUCUGCCUGGUAGUGGGGGAUAACGUCCGGAAACGGGCGCUAAUACCGCAUACUAUCAGAUGAGCCUAGGUCGGAUGAGCUAGUUGGGGGGGUAAAGGCCUACCAAGGCGACGAUCCGUAACUGGUCUGAGAGGAUGAUCAGACAAACUGGAACUGGGACAGGGUCCAGACUCCUAGGGGAGGAAGCGGGGGGGAAUAUUGGACAAUGGGCGAAAGCCUGAUCAAGCCAGGCCGGGUGUGUGAAGAAGGUCUUCGGAUGGAAAAGCAUUUUAAGUGGGGAGGCGUUACCAACAGAAUAAGCACCGGCUAACAUCGUGCCAGACGCGCGGUAAUAC
rnacentral:rRNA from 1 species